CAUACAAACAUUUACCCCACAGCACAAAACCCAACUACAAACGACCACACCCUAUGACCCACCCUCCCUACCCACAAACCAACACGCCCUACAACACUCACAUACACCUUCUUCCCCCCCCCCCUCACCACCACAAACUGCACACAACACAACAGAAUCACAAUACAAUAACAAUACCCCUACACCACACAUAACAGCCCUCUACCAACCAUCCCUUCCCCCCCCCCCCCAAAUACACAAACAACCCGCCUACUUCAUACGCGCCGCAACUUGCACUACGUCACGCCACCCCCUCCUCCCCCACCAUAUACAUACAUUUUAUAAUAAUACAAUCUUGUAACAUCGUAAUCUGAUCACAUCCGGUACAUGCCAUUAUUAGGUUAGUCGCACCGUGUUAUCACAAGCUCAAGCUAUGAAAAUGCGGACCUUAGUAAAACGAAAAUCCGACGUAAGUGCCUUCACAUAUGGAAAAAGGGUGUCCUUUACUUUGCUCCUAUUUCUUGAGUGACCUACUGUAUGGAGAACUUGGCAGGUAGGCAUGCUUGACCUCCCCCUCCCCCCUCUUUAGCUAAAAA